rnacentral:rRNA from 1 species
GACGAACGCUGGCGGCGUGCUUAACACAUGCAAGUCGAGCGGUAAGGCCCUUUCGGGGGUACACGAGCGGCGAACGGGUGAGUAACACGUGGGUGACCUGCCCUCAGCUCUGGGAUAAGCCUGGGAAACUGGGUCUAAUACUGGAUAUGACUCCACGGUGCAUGUCGUGGGGUGGAAAGCCUUGUGCGGCUGAGGAUGGGCCCGCGGCCUAUCAGCUUGUUGGUGGGGUGAUGGCCUACCAAGGCGACGACGGGUAGCCGGCCUGAGAGGGCGACCGGCCACACUGGGACUGAGACACGGCCCAGACUCCUACGGGAGGCAGCAGUGGGGAAUAUUGCGCAAUGGACGAAAGUCUGACGCAGCAACGCCGCGUGAGGGAUGACGGCCU